rnacentral:rRNA from 1 species
CACUUUUUGAUGGAUUCGCGGUGCAUUAGUUAGUUGGUGGGGUAAAGGCCCACCAAGACGAUGAUGCAUAGCCGAGUUGAGAGACUGACCGGCCACAUUGGGACUGAGACACGGCCCAAACUCCUACGGGAGGCUGCAGUAGGGAAUCUUCCACAAUGGGCGAAAGCCUGAUGGAGCAACGCCGCGUGUGUGAUGAAGGCUUUCGGGUCGUAAAGCACUGUUGUAUGGGAAGAACGGUAAGGGUAGGAAAUGACCUUUACAUGACGGUACCAUACCAGAAAGGGACGGCUAAAUACGUGCCAGCAGCCGCGGUAAUACGUAUGUCCCGAGCGUUAUCCGGAUUUAUUGGGCGUAAAGCGAGCGCAGACGGUUCGAUAAGUCUGAAGUGAAAGCCCACAGCUCAACUGUGGAAGUGCUUUGGAAACUGUCGAACUUGAGUGCAGUAGAGGUAAGUGGAACUCCAUGUGUAGCGGUGGAAUGCGUAGAUAUAUGGAAGAACACCAGUGGCGAAGGCGGCUUACUGGACUGCAACUGACGUUGAGGCUCGAAAGUGUGGGUAGCAAACAGGAUUA